UAUCAAAUUGACCUAAAGGCUUUGAGGAGCAUAAACACAAAAGAAAGCAGUGCCAAGCAGUCUGGAAAAAGCUCCUGUUCUUCCAAAAGCGGAACAGUGCCAACUCCAAGGCAGAAGAAAGAAGAGGAAAUAUUUGUCAGCUCUAUCCAAUAGCUGGUCACAUAGUAAUUGAGAGACUAUUCUGCCUUACUUAUGGACCACGAGUCAGUCACCCUUUGGCCUUCUCUGGCCCCCAAGUUCUUGGAGUCUCCAGCAUAAGGCUGCUUUCCACCAAAAUGGCUAAUGAGGUGAAUACUUGGAACAGCUUCCCAGAAUAG
rnacentral:lncRNA from 1 species